CGUUUAGUAGAUUUUUUCGGUUGGUUCGGUAAACAUCAUAGAUCAAAAACUUAAUAAAUUGAAAAUCACAGAUAAUUUUUAUAUCUUCAUUUUCAUUAGUCUCGAUUUCGAAUUAAUUUCGAUAAUUCAUAAAUUUUUCUCUCAAUUUCUGCGAACGAGAAUACAUAAAUCGCAAUCAUGUCAUUCAAGCAACAUUUGGAAAUGAUCGGUCGUAAUGAGACGCCGAGCAAAAAAGCCAAAUUCUGGCAAUCCUAUGUCAGAUCGCUUAAAGGUUCGGAUGAUAUCCGUGCCCACGAUUCACCAAAAAUAAACUCCUGGAGACCAUUGAGCGCUGACUUGCCACCAUUGCGUAGCAUCUAUGAUGAACCGAGCACAGCAUCCGAAAGAAUCGUUGGUGCUGGUUACCGUUACUUGCCAGUCCAUCGCGAAACAUACGGUUAUUCACCACGACCAAUCUAUUCGCACCACUAUGGAAGACCCACUAGUGAAUAUGCUCACGUGUACGAUGCAGAACGUGCUUGGUUUGACCACUUGCAAAGAAUGAAGGACAUUGAACGUCGGUACCCAUCACGUUACGGGCUUUACUUAAAAGACAAGCCAAACACAGUUGUAGUGCCACAAGAAUAUGAACCAGAGGAUAAACUGCUCAAGUCCGGUCGUUCUGGACGUUCACCAUCACGGGCCUUCAGUGUUCCACCACCAAUUGCUCCACCACCAUUGCGUUCAUUGAGUGUUCAACCUCGCGAUCUACGUGCUACAUCGAUUCCACCAAUGCCUUCGUCGCCAUUGUCUCCACUCGAUUUGCUAAGUGAGUAUGAACGUCAACCAUUUGAAAGAGGUUUAUCCCCAACACCAGUUAAAUGUGGCCGAUGGGCUCCACGCAGCUCUGAAAUUGCUUUUGACAGUGACGGAUUGCCAAUUUUCCGUGGAGGAUUUCCUCGCUACAAUAGCUUAGACAACCUCAUGAACCCACGUGCAUCAUUACCACCAACUGCCUUUACACGUGAUCCAUUUUGGUAUGAUUUGGGAGACAUAGGACUCCGUCCCUUCCGUGCCACUUCCGAGUGUCCAGCACAUUUACGUGACUCGUACUUGUCACCAAUCCGACGAAGAUAUUUGUGGACAUCACACCCAAUGCGUCCAUUCGAGGACGAGCUCUUCGACAUCCCUUGAAGUUAAAAAUGUGCACACCUUUGCUAUUUCAUAUGUUUCUAUGUUAAUUGUUUCAAAUUGUUUUGACUUUGACCACAAUCAAGAUACAUUUACCUAUUUAAUCUUUCAUUUUUAUAUUCGAAACAAAGUCUCAAUGCUCACACCCGAUAGAUUGAUUGAGACAUCAAACGAUUACCAUGGCCAUCUUUAAAAUGCCGAAAAAUUAUACUGCACGUCGACCACUUCGAAAAA